CCGAGUUUACAACUCCCAAACCCAAUGUGAACGUUACCAAACUGUUGCCUCGGCGGGGUCACGCCCCGGGUGCGUAAAAGCCCCGGAACCAGGCGCCCGCCGGAGGAGGAACCAACCAAACUCUUUCUGUAGUCCCCUCGCGGACCGUAUUUCUUACAGCUCUGAGCAAAAAUUCAAAAUGAAUCA
rnacentral:misc_RNA from 1 species